UCGGAUGACGUGCAAGGGGUGGGGGUAAUGGGUAGGGUGGGCGGGUUAAACGGAAGGACGGAGGGUAAAGUUGGAGGAGGCGACCGUGCAAUGCGAGGGUGAAAUCCCCGGGGUUAACGUGGGAAGUGAGCUGGAAAGUACGUGGCGUGAGUGGGGCAGAGGAAGGUGGAAUUCCACGUGUAGCGGUGAAAUGCGUAGAGAUGUGGAGGAACACCAAUGGCGAAGGCAGCCUUCUGGGCCAACACUGACGCUCAUGCACGAAAGCGUGGGGAGCAAACAGGAUUAGAUACCCGUGUAGUC
rnacentral:rRNA from 1 species